rnacentral:rRNA from 1 species
UACGUAGGUGGCAAGCGUUGUCCGGAUUUACUGGGCGUAAAGAGCGCGCAGGCGGUCGUUCAAGUCGCGUGUGAAAGCCCCCGGCUCAACUGGGGAGGGUCACGCGAUACUGAUCGACUCGAAGGCAGAGAGGGAAGUGGAAUUCCCGGUGUAGUGGUGAAAUACGUAGAUAUCGGGAAGAACACCUGAGGCGAAGGCGGCUAUCUGGCGGUACAUUGACGCUGAUGCACGAAAGCGUGGGGAGCAAACAGG